CGCUAUUGGAAUGUGGAGUAAGUUUAGACUUGUAUGAGUAUACUUAAGAAAAUUCAGAAAAAAGAUGCAGACAUUAUUUAAUUUAAGGUGAUCAUCAUAGUCGACACAUGUUCCUUCAAGUGUUUUGGUGUCUAUUUGGGUUUAUUGCUCAUAAUGUUUGAUUUUUGGGGAUCCCUUAUUUGUAGUUAAAAUGUCAAGCUCGUUCACCAAGAAAUAAGAGUAGGUUUCCCCUGAAUUUAUUUUACAAUAAACUUAUUUUGAAAAGCUUAAUCAUAACUAAAAUUUACAAUAUUUCCACAAAUAUGAUGUCGGUUUACUCAAAAGACGAUGUCACUAUUCGGAUCGAGAAGAUCAUUUUUAAAAAUUAAAAAAAAAGUUUUCUAUACAGGGCACAAUAUAAUUCAUGUCGGUUUAGAGUUCUCUCACAUGAAAAAAAAACCUUCCAAAAACCCAAUAAAAACACACAUUUGAAACUAAUCAUAUUUCACCAAAACCUGUAUCCACAAAGAAAUUUUAAAUAACAAAAAUACAGAAUUCCAAGGAAAAUUAAAAAUGGAAAGUCCCUAUCAAAUGGCAUAACCAAAUGCUCAAACAUUUUAAACAAAAGGACAACAACUGUUAUGUUUCUGACUUGGUAUAGGCAUAUCCUAUAUAGAAAAUAGUGAAUUUAACCGGGUUUUAUAGCUAGCUAAACCUCUCACAUGUUUGACAGUCGCAUAAAAUCCAAUUUUAUUGACAUUAACGUGUGAACAAAAUAUAUAGACAUAAUAGAUACAAAUUUCAAAAUAUGGGAUCACCAUAACCGCAAU
rnacentral:lncRNA from 1 species